GACGAACGCUGGCGGCGUGCUUAACACAUGCAAGUCGAACGGAAAGGCCCUGCUUUUGUGGGGUGCUCGAGGGGCGAACGGGGGAGUAACACGUGAGUAACCUGCCCUUGACUUUGGGAUAACUUCAGGAAACUGGGGCUAAUACCGGAUAGGAGCUCCUGCUGCAUGGGGGGGGUUGGAAAGUUUCGGCGGUUGGGGAUGGACUCGCGGCUUAUCAGCUUGUUGGUGGGGUAGUGGCUUACCAAGGCUUUGACGGGUAGCCGGCCUGAGAGGGUGACCGGCCACAUUGGGACUGAGAUACGGCCCAGACUCCUACGGGAGGCAGCAGUGGGGAAUAUUGCACAAUGGGCGGAAGCCUGAUGCAGCAACGCCGCGUGCGGGAUGACGGCCUUCGGGUUGUAAACCGCUUUCGCCUGUGACGAAGCGUGAGUGACGGUAAUGGGUAAAGAAGCACCGGCUAACUACGUG
rnacentral:rRNA from 1 species